UACGUAGGGGCCUAGCGUUGUCCGGAAUUAUUGGGCGUAAAGAGCUCGUAGGCGGUUCGGCAAGUCGGAUGUGAAAUCUCCACGCUUAACGUGGAGGGGCCAUUCGAAACUGCUGUGACUCGAGUCCGGUAGGGGAGUGUGGAAUUCCCGGUGUAGCGGUGAAAUGCGCAGAUAUCGGGAGGAACACCGGUGGCGAAGGCGGGUCUCUGGGCCGACAUUGACGCUGAGGAGCGAAAGCGUGGGGAGCGAACAGG
rnacentral:rRNA from 1 species